rnacentral:lncRNA from 10 species
CUGAGGUCUAGAGACUAAAUAUUUGUCAGCUGCCCAAUUUGUUCUGAAAAUGUUAGCUCUCAGGAGAAAUCUUCGCCUUUCAGACCUGUCUCAUCUUAACAUUAGUCUCUACCUGUCAAUGCCGCAGUAUGUAUAUUCCUAAGAGAUGACACAAAGAGCUAAGAAAUUUCCUAAUUAGGAUAGAAGGGAAUAUCCGAGAAAGAUAUUGCUCCCUCUUUUUCUCUCUCCUCUCUCUAUCACAAACACAGCAUGUGGUCAGUAAAAUGUGGAUUUGUGUAAUAUUUACAAAGUUGCUUAUCAAAGUUGGAUCAAAGCACUUUAACUUUUAAUUUAUUAAUAACUUCAUUAUAAAAUUAUUUGUAAGUAAUUCAGUCAUAGAUUUGAAGACUACGAUGGUAUACACAUAGCAUUUUUUUUCUGAAAAUGAAAACCUAAUCAAGGUUUUAAAUUUUCUUUUCUGCUGGAGUGCAAAACACACAUAAAAAAUGACAACUGGAACUAUGUCUUUUUUUCUGGAGUCAAUGUUAUUUUCAAAAAUACACUGUAUUAAAUUAUCAGGAUAACAUUUGGUAUUUAAAGUAUAUGUAUUACUGUUUUUAUAAUAGCUAAAAAGGUAUUUCCUUUUACCUGUACAAAACUGUUGAAUGUUUUAAUCAAUUCUUUAUGUUUUAGGGAAGUUAUUUAUUUUUCCUUUUUUAAAGGUAGAGUCUUGCUGUGUUGUCCAGGCUGGAGUGAAGUGACAUGACCAAGCUCAUUGCAACCUCUAUCUCUGAGGCUCAAGCAAUCCUCCCACCUCAGCUUCUUAAGUUGCUGGAGACUACAGGCAUGCACCACCACGCCUAGUUAUUUUUUUUUUUAUUAAUUUUUUUAAACGGCUGGUCUUGAAGUCCUGAGCUCAAGCAAUCCUCCUGCCUCGCCCUCCAAAAGUGCUGAGGUUACAUGUUUGAGCCACCGUUCCUGGUCUGGGAAGUUAUUUUUAAAGUGUGAUUUGAUUUUUAUUAUCCCCUUGGAAAAUGUGAGAUAAUAUUUGCUUGCUUUCUUGUCCUUGUGUUCAAUUUCUUUGUUUUAUUCAAUUUACUUUAGCUAUAUUUUGUUUUAAAAUAUCAAAAUAUAUAAUUAUGUAUAAUCUUUUGUGAAUUGUAUCUUAAUUAUUGUUGCAUAUAAAGAGUUGUUCUAAAUUAUAAUGUUUAAUAAAUUAAAGCAACUCUCUUUGAAAAAGGUCCAUAUAUUUUGCUUCUUUAAUAUAAGCACAUAAUUUAUAGUAAAGGUUACCAAUAGUUUGAAGUUAAUUUUUAACCAUAUGAAGUUAAUUUUUAACACAAUGCUCUUUUACAUCCCUCGAGGAAAUUUCAUACACUCAAAAAGAAUCAGUUUCUGAAACGCAGAAGCCAUGUCUGUCAAGAAUACAAGGAACUUACUACUGGAAAGUAAGGUACUAUAGCAUAAUCUUUAACACUUUCCUGUCACAUCCAAGAUGACUACAGAUCCUAAUCAAUUUUUUCCCUCAGAACUCUAUUGAAAAUCUAUCCACAUGAUUUACUGGAUUUUGGUUUUCAUUUGUGUUUCUAGAGAAGAGUCAAUUCUUCACAUGAUACUUUAUUUAAUUUUUGAAAUUAUAAAAUACAUUUAGAAUGUUAUACAGAGUUUUA